AGUAACGCGUAAACAACCUGCCCUUCGGAUGGGGAUAACAGCCGGAAACGGCUGCUAAUACCGAAUACGAUCUUUUCGUCGCAUGACGGAAAGAAGAAAGGAUGGCCUCUAUACAAAGCUAUCGCCGAAGGAGGGGUUUGCGUCUGAUUAGCUGGUUGGAGGGGUAACGGCCCAACAAGGCGAUGAUCAGUAGCCGGUCUGAGAGGAUGAACGGCCACAUUGGGACUGAGACACGGCCCAGACUCCUACGGGAGGCAGCAGCG
rnacentral:rRNA from 1 species